GAGGGACCCAGCGGGAGGUAAUUGAGUCAUGAAUAUGGGUAUGUCCCAUGCUGUUCUCAUGAUAGUGAGUAAGUCCCAUGAGAUCUGAUGGUUUUAUAAAGAGGAGUUCCUUGCACAAGCUCUUUCUUCCCUGCUGCUGUGUAAGAUGUGACUUGCUCCUCCUUGCCUUCUGCUAUGAUUGUGAGGCCUCCCCAGACACAUAGAACAUUCUUACUGGUAAAUCAGUGUUUCAUCUCCUGUUAUAAUCCUUCAAAGAAAUUCUUCAGGAUGUUGAUCUCACUUGUUCAAAAUUCCAAAGAAAUUUCUCCACUCGUCUGCAACUGAUCUGGGUGCAAUAGUCGGGAUAGUUUGCUCACCUUUAACUUUUCAGUCAGAAUUGUGUAAGCUGAACCAACUGAGAGGACUACAGUGUUGGUGUUUCUAUUGUGAUUCAUCAGUCCUCUUCAAUUAGGGAAAGAACAAGAGUAAUUUUUCCAUCACAAAUUGAUGUGGAUGGCCUGCUGCUACAGGCUUCUUCUCCAACAUCAUUGCACCCCUUCUUAAGACAUGUUAUUUAUUUGUAAACUGCUACCCUUUUUGGAAUACAGUCACUAUAAAUUUUUUAUACAGCAUUAAUGAUUUCCCCAUUCUUACACCGAGGUUUCAACACAAAUUUGAUGUUUGAUCUUGCUUACAUUUUAGCAGAAUUCACAUUUUCCUGAUAGGGGCUCUUCUCGAAUUGAUGUCAUCCUUUUUGGUGCCUUAAGCUAGAUCCUGUUCAGACAUGUUACAAGAAGUCAGUAUGAGUUUAUUUUGGUGUAAAAAAAAUGUGAAAUUUAUACAUAGUUUUUUAUAAUGUGACCUUUCCAUGAACUUUUUGAAGACCUCUCAUAUAAGGACAAAAGUGACCGUGAGUUAAAGAAAGAGAAAUUGAGUUCAUCAUAAGAAGUCACUUAGUCAAUUUUUUUAUAAUCGUAAAUCUACAGGAACAUGUACCUUACCCUGAAUAUGUCAUAUUGCUUAGUAAUAAAAACAUCACAGAGAAAGAAAACUAGAAUGUGUGUAUUUAGAGCUGUGUCUAUAUAUAUUGAAUAAAUUCUAGACCAGGUUGGAAUUAGGCCUAUGUAGAGAAUCACACAGUUAAAAGCCUUACCAAGCAGGAAAGCUGAACUUUGUAAAAAAGUCCCACUGCAGUGGUGGCAUUUAGCCUGGUCACACACUAUAUGGAUGGCUCUGUUUCACACACAAGACAAAACUAUGUCACUUCCUGAAACCAUCCUCUGACACAAAAUUUACUCUGUGAUUGGUAAUUAUUCAUUGCAAAGUACUCUACAGAACUCCUUUCUCAUCUGCUUCAGUAUAGUCUGUUUAUAUAAUAUUCAAAAAUUUAAAAGCAUAAAAUAACUUAAUAACUAACACUUGGUGACUACUUAAUGAAUUUACUUGAAAUGAAAUUUUAAUAUCAAUGAUAUUUUAAAAUGAGGCCUCACUGAAUAUCCUACUGGG
rnacentral:lncRNA from 1 species